rnacentral:tRNA from 1 species
GCGGACAUAGCUCAGUUGGGAGAGCGUCAGACUGAAGUAGACCUCGGUUCUCCAAACUUCAUUCCAUAUAUCUGAAGGUCGUGUGUUCAAUCCACACUGGCCGCA